CUAUAUCAUAUUCUUACAGAAUUUACAAAGCAUUAUUCUUUUGCAGGGAAAUUCUGCAGAUCCAUUACAAUGGAUCUUACUUCUGUUUGCAGCUUCUUUGGCGCACUACUGCCCCAAUCAGACAGGCGCAAGUGGCUACAACCCUGAAGACCCAGCCACUUCUAGCCAGUUUGAACUGCCUCCAGCAGCUGCAGGAGGGCUUUACCAGAUGACAUGCUCAGAGCAACAACCAACCAAACAAAAAGGAUUCUAAGCAUUACUGGGCUUUUAUUUGGCCUUGGAAAGGGUGUAGGUAGAGGUAUUAAUUGAAAUAGGAUAUUCAGCUGUGUUAACACUACCUCUUUAGCCCUGAAAAAGUAUUUUUACAAACAGGGCAUCUUCAAGGGCCUGGUCUGUGUGUCGUGCUACGUUACUGGCCUGCAUGGAACAGGCAAAGCAUGCCUCCAACCAACAAUAACUAGUGCUCAUUCAUUCAGAGUCACUCAUCUCCCUGUCUUCUCAUUGUUUCUGUUUUCCCUUCAUGGAAAUGCACUCCUUUUAGACACCCUGUUGUAAUGGCUCUGUGGACUUUCCCUGUGAAAAAUAC